rnacentral:rRNA from 1 species
CGGCGGCCCAAGUGGUGGCCGCUAUUAUUGGGCCUAAAGCGUCCGUAGCCGGGCCCGUAAGUCCCUGGCGAAAUCCCACGGCUCAACCGUGGGGCUUGCUGGGGAUACUGCGGGCCUUGGGACCGGGAGAGGCCGGGGGUACCCCUGGGGUAGGGGUGAAAUCCUAUAAUCCCAGGGGGACCGCCAGUGGCGAAGGCGCCCGGCUGGAACGGGCCCGACGGUGAGGGACGAAGGCCAGGGGAGCGAACCGGAUUAGAUACCCGAGUAGUCC